rnacentral:rRNA from 1 species
CGGGGGAUAACAUUGGAAACGAUAGCUAAUACCGCNUAAAAGUCGACAUUGCAUGAUGUUGACUUGAAAGGUGCAACUGCAUCACUAAGAGAUGGACCUGCGUUGUAUUAGCUAGUUGGUGAGGUAACGGCUCACCAAGGCGACGAUACAUAGCCGACCUGAGAGGGUGGAUCGGCCACACUCGGGACUGAGACACGGCCCAGACUCCUACGGGAGGCAGCAUG